UACGGGGGGAGCAAGCGUUGUUCGGAUUUACUGGGCGUAAAGGGCGCGUAGGCGGCCACGACAAGUCACUUGUGAAAUCUCCGGGCUUAACUCGGAAACGGUCAAGUGAUACUGUCGGGCUAGAGUGCAGAAGGGGCAACUGGAAUUCUCGGUGUAGCGGUGAAAUGCGUAGAUAUCGAGAGGAACACCAGAGGCGAAGGCGGCUACCUGGACAAUUGCUGACGCUCAGGCACGAAAGCGUGGGGAGCAAAAGGG
rnacentral:rRNA from 1 species